UUAAAUUGAAGAGUUUGAUCAUGGCUCAGAUUGAACGCUGGCGGCAGGCCUAACACAUGCAAGUCGAACGGUAGCAC
rnacentral:rRNA from 11 species